UCAAACUUGGUCAUUUAGAGGAAGUAAAAGUCGUAACAAGGUUUCCGUAGGUGAACCUGCGGAAGGAUCAUUAACGAGUAAACUGAACAGGUUGUAGCUGGCUUCGCAAGGAGCAUGUGCACGCCUGGCUCAUCCACUCUUCAACCUCUGUGCACUUAUUGUAGGUUGGCGGGAAAGGCAAGUUCUGUUAUAUAGGAUUUGCUUUUGAAAGCCUUCCUAUGUUUUAUUACAAACGCGCUUCAGUUUAAGAAUGUAUUUCUGCGUAUAACGCAUCUAUAUACAACUUUCAGCAACGGAUCUCUUGGCUCUCGCAUCGAUGAAGAACGCAGC
rnacentral:misc_RNA from 1 species